rnacentral:rRNA from 1 species
GAUGAACGCUGGCGGCGUGCCUAAUACAUGCAAGUCGAGCGAACAGACGAGGAGCUUGCUCCUCUGACGUUAGCGGCGGACGGGUGAGUAACACGUGGAUAACCUACCUAUAAGACUGGGAUAACUUCGGGAAACCGGAGCUAAUACCGGAUAAUAUAUUGAACCGCAUGGUUCAAUAGUGAAAGACGGCUUUGCUGUCACUUAUAGCUGGAUCCGCGCCGCAUUAGCUAGUUGGUAAGGUAACGGCUUACCAAGGCAACGAUGCGUAGCCGACCUGAGAGGGUGAUCGGCCACACUGGAACUGAGACACGGUCCAGACUCCUACGGGAGGCAGCAGUAGGGAAUCUUCCGCAAUGGGCGAAAGCCUGACGGAGCAACGCCGCGUGAGUGAUGAAGGUCUUCGGAUCGUAAAACUCUGUUAUUAGGGAAGAACAAAUGUGUAAGUAACUAUGCCCGUCUUGACGGUACCUAAUCAGAAAGCCACGGCUAACUACGUG